UACCAGCUCUCCGAGUGGUGUGGAUGUUUAUUGGGCCUAAAGCAUCCGUAGCUGGCUGGGCAAGUCCCCUGUUAAAUCCACCGAUUUAAUCGUUGGUGUGCGGGGGAUACUGUUCGGCUAGGGGACGGGAGAGGCCGACGGUAUUUCCGGGGUAGGGGUGAAAUCCUAUAAUCCCGGGAAGACCACCAGUGGCGAAGGCUGUCGGCUAGAACGCGCCCGACGGUGAGGGAUGAAAGCUGGGGGAGCGAACCGGAUUAGAUACCCGGGUAGUCCCAGCUGUAAACGAUGCAGGCUAGGUGUUUGGGCGGCCACGUGCCGCUCUAGUGCCGCAAGGAAGCUGCUAAGCCUGCCGCCUGGGGAGUACGGCCGCAAGGCUGAAACUUAAAGGAAUUGGCGGGGAGCACCACAAGGGGUGAAGCUUGCGGUUU
rnacentral:rRNA from 1 species